GAGUUUGAUCAUGGCUCAGGAUGAACGCUGGCGGUAUGCUUUACACAUGCAAGUCGUACGGGAGUUUUUAACUCAAGUGGCGGACGGGUGAGUAACACGUAAGAAUUUACCUUUAGGAGGGGGAUAACAACUGGAAACGGUUGCUAAUACCCCAUAUGCUUUCGAGUGAAAUGGAUUUUUCCGCCUAGAGAGAAGCUUGCGGCUGAUUAGCUUGUUGGUGAGGUAAUGGCUCACCAAGGCGACGAUCAGUAUCUGGUUUGAGAGGAUGAUCAGACACACUGGAACUGAGACACGGUCCAGACUCCUACGGGAGGCAGCAGUGGGGAAUUUUCCGCAAUGGGCGAAAGCCUGACGGAGCAAUACCGCGUGAGGGAUGACGGCCUAUGGGUUGUAAACCUCUUUUUUCAGGGAGGAAUCAAUGACGUGUACCUGAAGAAUAAGCAUCGGCUAACUCCGUGCCAGCAGCCGCGGUAAGACGGAGGAUGCAAGUGUUAUCCGGAAUCACUGGGCGUAAAGCGUCUGUAGGUGGUUUAAUAAGUCAACUGUUAAAUCUUGAGGCUCAACCUCAAA
rnacentral:rRNA from 1 species